rnacentral:rRNA from 1 species
AGCGAACGCUGGCGGCAGGCCUAACACAUGCAAGUCGAACGGACCCUUCGGGGUUAGUGGCGGACGGGUGAGUAACACGUGGGAACGUGCCUUUAGGUUCGGAAUAGCUCCUGGAAACGGGUGGUAAUGCCGAAUGUGCCCUUCGGGGGAAAGAUUUAUCGCCUUUAGAGCGGCCCGCGUCUGAUUAGCUAGUUGGUAAGGUAAUGGCUUACCAAGGCGACGAUCAGUAGCUGGUCUGAGAGGAUGAUCAGCCACAUUGGGACUGAGACACGGCCCAAACUCCUACGGGAGGCAGCAGUGGGGAAUCUUGCGCAAUGGGCGAAAGCCUGACGCAGCCAUGCCGCGUGAAUGAUGAAGGUCUUAGGAUUGUAAAAUUCUUUCACCGGGGACGAUAAUGACGGUACCCGGAGAAGAAGCCCCGGCUAACUUCGUG